GGUCAACAUGGGGUUUCUGAACUCGAGACUCUAGGUCCAUCGGCCCUAAGUGCAUGGGAGCACUGUGCAGGCUCAAGGGUGAAAUAACUUGCCCAAAGUCUCACGGCCACUAAAGAGUGGUGCCUAGGGCUGUGGUCUGUGUCUCCACAAAGGUCUCCAGGGUGGAUGUUGGGAGGUGGGGCCUAGUGGAGCUUCUGUGGUUGCUGGGGGCAAGAUGCAGUUUGCAGAGAGAUUGUUACAAAGGAGCAGUCCUGGUUCCCCUGCUGCCUGCUCCUGACUCAAGUGUGCGCCUUCCUCUGUGUGCAUUCCCGCCAUAAUAAUGUCACCCACCGUUCUGAUCUUAGACUUCAGAUACCCAAAACUGUAAGCUAAAUGAAACCUGUUUUCCCCACACAUGGCUUGCCUUGGGUAUCUCCUCACAGUGACAAAAAGCAGACUCAUUGACAUUAUCACCGAGGACUCUGUCUCUAGGCUCACAGUGUUCACCACACCAAGCUCCCUGGGCCACCCUACCCCUGCUCCUGGCAUUUUUUCCUACCCCUUCACCCCAUCAAGGGAGACAGCAGGACCGUAAAUGGCAAGAUUUCUCCUGCCUUCAUAUCUCUUACUGGCAUUAUGAAUGCUAAGAGAAGCCCUUGAGGUUUUGAAGGAAGGGCACAGUAUAAUGUGAGGAUUGGCUUCAUGAUGG
rnacentral:lncRNA from 1 species